CUUUGAAGUAAAUUGCUAAUAAUUGACAUAUAUUAAAUGUCUUGUUAAAUGUUACUCAAUCUAAGAUUUAAUGUUUUAUUCAGUACAAUUGAACUAUAGAAUAAAAGUUACCCACUUGUCAAAAUUUGAGCACCAUGGGCUGGAGUGUAUCUCAGUGACAGAGCACAUGAAGACCUGGGUGUUCCAUCCCUGGCACUGCAAAAGAAAAAAAAAAAAAAGGAAAGAAAGAAAAAAGAAAAAUUUUGAGCACCAGGCACAAGAAAUAAAGAAAGUUUCAACAGAGAAACAUGAUGUGUUAAAUUUUUUGUGUGCUAAUUCAGGAAGUAGCUCAGAUGAGUAAGAAACCUAAGUUAAAUCAGACAAUGUGUAAACCAGUAGGGUUAGGACUCAGCUUUUAAGAGCAUAUGAAUGCACGUGUGAGCUCUUGCUUAUACAGAGAGAGCUUUCCACAUUAAUUACUUGUGAGAAAUUGUGAUUACCUUUAACAGAGUUGAGACCAAAAAUAACUCCUGGAGUGUCAGUAAUUUGCCAGGCUGCUGCCAGGGAGGCUGUAUUUGCCUGAGGAAAUCUGCAGUUCUCCCAUGUCACCGGAAACCUCGGGUCACUUAGACUGUGGGGACUCAAGCACGACUUAAGAAAAUGUACUCAUUUUAGAUGACAUGGAAUGGCCCACAUAAACCCCCCUGCAGCAUCAUCUGUUGAAGUAGCAAAUGUUUUAAAUGGCCUUUCCUAUUUUGAGUGUUAAACAUACAUUCAGUAGAAGACAACAUUGGAG
rnacentral:lncRNA from 1 species